rnacentral:lncRNA from 1 species
ACUCCCUCCGUCCCUAUUUAUCUGUCCACUUUGGAAGUAAAAAUUUGUCCCUAUUUAUCUGUCCAUUUAUACUUUCAAAACUAAUCUAAUGAUAGUUUUUCAAAUAUAUCUCCAUAAUUUCAAUUUUCAAAGCUUGACUUAUUUAAAACUUGGUUGAAUUCAUGUUUUCAAGACAUAAAGUAGGGGUAUUCCACAAUUUUCAAGAUAUUAAUUAGAGGUAUUUAAUGAAAAAGUUUAUACAAUCAAUUAUUCCUUGGUAUGUGUUUUUUUUUCCAAAAUGGACAGAUAAAAAGGGACGGAGGGAGU